rnacentral:rRNA from 1 species
UCUACCUACGGGGGGCAGCAGUGGGGAAUAUUGGGCAAUGGGCGCAAGCCUGACCCAGCGACGCCGCGUGAGGGAAGACGGUCUUCGGAUUGUAAACCUCUUUCAGCAGGGAAGACAAAAGGACGGUACCUGCAGAAGAAGCCACGGCUAACUACGUGCCAGCAGCCGCGGUAAUACGUAGGUGGCAAGCGUUAUCCGGAAUUACUGGGUGUAAAGGGUGUGUAGGCGGGUUUGCAAUGCAGAUGUGAAAAUUAUGGGCU